rnacentral:rRNA from 1 species
CCUACGGGUGGCAGCAGUGGGGAAUAUUGGGCAAUGGGCGCAAGCCUGACCCAGCAACGCCGCGUGAAGGAUGAAGGCUUUCGGGUUGUAAACUUCUUUUAAGAGGGAAGAGAAGAAGACGAUACCUCUUGAAUAAGCCACAGCUAACUACGUGCCAGCAGCCGCGGUCAUACGUAGGUCGCAAGCGUUGUCCGGAGUUACUGGGUGUAAAGGGCGAGCAGCCGUGAAGGCAAGUCAGAUGUGAAAUCCCGCGGCUCAACCGCGGAACUGCAUUUGAAACUGUUUUUCUUGAGUACCGGAGAGGUAAUCGGAAUGCCUGGUGUAGCGGUGAAAUGCGUAGAUAUAAGGAAGAACACCAGUGGCGAAGGCGGAUGACUGGACGGCAACUGACGGUGAGGCGCGAAAGCGUGGGGAGCAAACAGGAUUAGAUACCCUUGUAGUC